rnacentral:rRNA from 1 species
GUAGGGUGCGAGCGUUAAUCGGAAUUACUGGGCGUAAAGCGAGCGCAGGCGGUUCUGCAAGUCAGAUGUGAAAUCCCCGGGCUCAACCUGGGAACUGCGUUUGAAACUACAGAGCUAGAGUAUAGGAGAGGGAGGUAGAAUUCCACGUGUAGCAGUGAAAUGCGUAGAGAUGUGGAGGAAUACCGAUGGCGAAGGCAGCCUCCUGGCCUAAUACUGACGCUCAUGCUCGAAAGCGUGGGGAGCAAACAGGAUUAGAUACCCUGGUAGUCCACGCCCUAAACGAUGUCUACUAGUUGUUGGUGGAGUAAAAUCCAUUAGUAACGCAGCUAACGCGUGAAGUAGACCGCCUGGGGAGUACGGUCGCAAGAUUAAA